ACACGUCUACAUUAGAUACCCCCGUAGUCCCAGCCGUAAACUAUGCGCGUUAGGUGUAUCGGUGACCACGAGUCACCGAGGUGCCGAAGGGAAACCGUGAAACGUGCCGCCUGGGAAGUACGGUCGCAAGGCUGAAACUUAAAGGAAUUAGCGGGGGAGCACCACAACGGGUGGAGCCUGCGGUUUAAUUGGACUCAACGCCGGGAAGCUCACCGGAUAAGACAGCGGAAUGAUUGCCGGGCUGAAGACUCUGCAUGACUAGCUG
rnacentral:rRNA from 1 species